rnacentral:rRNA from 1 species
UACGCAGGGAGCAAGCGUUGUUCGGAUUUACUGGGCGUAAAGGGCGCGUAGGCGGCAAAUUAAGUCAGCUGUGAAAUCUCCGAGCUUAACUCGGAACUGUCAGCUGAUACUGAUCUGCUAGAGUGCGGAAGGGGCAAUCGGAAUUCUUGGUGUAGCGGUGAAAUGCGUAGAUAUCAAGAGGAACACCUGAGGUGAAGCCGGGUUGCUGGGCCGACACUGACGCUGAGUGCGCGAAAGCCAGGGGAGCAAACGGG